AAUAGAUACCCUGGUAGUCCACGCCGUAAACGAUGUCGACUUGGAGGUUGUUCCCUUGAGGAGUGGCUUCCGGAGCUAACGCGUUAAGUCGACCGCCUGGGGAGUACGGCCGCAGGGUUAAAACUCAAAUGAAUUGACGGGGGCCCGCACAAGCGGUGGAGCAUGUGGUUUAAUUCGAUGCAACGCGAAGAACCUUACCUACUCUUGACAUCCACGGAACUUUUCAGAGAUGAAUUGGUGCCUUCGGGAACCGUGAGACAGGUGCUGCAUGGCUGUCGUCAGCUCGUGUUGUGAAAUGUUGGGUUAAGUCCCGCAGCGAGCGCAACCCUUAUCCUUUGUUGCCAGCGGUUAGGCCGGGAACUCAAAGGAGACUGCCAGUGAUAAACUGGAGGAAGGUGGGGAUGACGUCAAGUCAUCAUGGCCCUUACGAGUAGGGCUACACACGUGCUACAAUGGCGCAUACAAAGAGAAGCGACCUCGCGAGAGCAAGCGGACCUCAUAAAGUGCGUCGUAAGUCCGGAUUGGAGU
rnacentral:rRNA from 1 species